rnacentral:rRNA from 1 species
AUGAUGAUGCACCCCCCAUGGUUCCAUCAAGAUGAAGAUGAAGAUAGUCACAAGUUGAUCUUUACAACAUCACCUACACCACAUGGGUGGAACUACAAAGGUAAUAACAUAGGUGAUGGUACUUUGCUUGUCCCUCCGGUGGACAUGGAUUGCUUGCAUGAUAUUGAUGAUCAUAUUGCUAUGUUACCUGCUAGUUUUCCUUCUACAUGCUUUGAUUUUCUAACCGUUUAUGAUGAGUGUGAUGAUGGGUAUGUGAGGACAAGUAGUUCCGACCAUGCUACAUACGACUUCUUGUGCCAAUUUCAUAUGACAUAUCAUGUUUGA